UACGUAGGCAGCGAGCGUUGUUCGGAGUUACUGGGCGUAAAGGGUGCGUAGGCGGCGCGGUAAGUCGGGUGUGAAAUCUCGGGGCUUAACUCCGAAACUGCAUUCGAUACUGCCGUGCUUGAGGACUGGAGAGGAGACUGGAAUUUACGGUGUAGCGGUGAAAUGCGUAGAUAUCGUAAGGAAGACCAGUGGCGAAGGCGGGUCUCUGGACAGUUCCUGACGCUGAGGCACGAAGGUCAGGGGAGCAAACGGG
rnacentral:rRNA from 1 species